UACGAAGGGUGCAAGCGUUACUCGGAAUUACUGGGCGUAAAGUGUGCGCAGGCGGCAGAGCAAGUCGAGUGUGAAAGCCCCGGGCUUAACUUGGGAAUUGCGCUCGAAACUACUUUGCUGGAGUGUGGCAGAGGAAGGUGGAAUUCCACGUGUAGCGGUGAAAUGCGUAGAGAUGUGGAGGAACACCGGUGGCGAAGGCGGGUCUCUGGGCAGUAACUGACGCUGAGGAGCGAAAGCGUGGGGAGCGAACAGG
rnacentral:rRNA from 1 species